UGACUAUAUGUACCUACAUUUGAGAGUUUAAUUUUGAUCAAUGUUGACUGUUCUAAGCUUUAGUGGGACUUUAUAGUUUCAUUUCGGGGAAUAAAAUCCCAUUCUGGGUCUAUUGAGUUGUGUUCAAUAUUACAGGGAUCAAGCAGAGGUAGCGAAUUGGGGAAAAGAGGAGAGACUGCAAGAUUGGAUACCCAAGGCUGAAAGGUUGGUUGGGAUUUGGGUGGAGUUUGCUUAGUCUACAUGCCUGCUGAAAGGUUGGUUGGGAUUUGGGUGGAGUUUGCUUAGUCUACAUACCUAUCACUUGCUCGAUGGUUUGAGCUGCCUCAGCGGGGCUUCGCAGUCACCAGAGGAACUCCCAUACCCUUUUCAACUUUCUCGUAACAAGAAAAAAAAAAAAACUUUUCAACUUUCAGAGUAGAUAAAUUGGAUGCUGAAACCAGUUGUUCAUAGUUGAGACUAGUUGGUUUAUUACCUGAACUUGCGUCCCAUGUCUUACGGCCCUGCUUCUCGCACUUGGGACUUCCACUUUUUGAGGUUUCUGUUAACAUGCCCUACUGAUGAUAAAGUGCUCAAAGUGGUGGUCAAUUGAGAGAAUCUGCAUUUGGAUGGUUAAAUGUUCAAAAGAUGAUGUAGUAUAUUUUGUAAUAUGCUAUAUUCUUAACAUAAGUUUAAACUCAAGUUUGCUAGAAAUUGUACUUGGUUUCUAGCAGAUUGGAUAUAAAAUUUUUGU